rnacentral:misc_RNA from 1 species
AAGUCGUAACAAGGUUUCCGUAGGUGAACCUGCGGAAGGAUCAUUAACAAUCCUAACCGAUUCUUUGUUCCGGUUCGCCGGUCAGAGUCUUAAACCCUUUGUGAAAACAAAAGUCUUUUGCUUCGGCAGCCGGUCGGGCCUUCCUUACCGAUUCUCGACCGUCAGCCUGCCGGUGGCACCAACCAAACUUGUUAUUUCUGUACAGUCUGAAAAACAUUUUUUGAAUGAAAUCAAAA